CCUACGGGAGGCUGCAGUGAGGAAUAUUGGUCAAUGGACGAGAGUCUGAACCAGCCAAGUAGCGUGAAGGAUGACUGCCCUAUGGGUUGUAAACUUCUUUUAUAUGGGAAUAAAAUGUUCCACGUGUGGGAUUUUGUAUGUACCAUAUGAAUAAGGAUCGGCUAACUCCGUGCCAGCAGCCGCGGUAAUACGGAGGAUCCGAGCGUUAUCCGGGUUUAUUGGGUUUAAAGGGAGCGUAGGUGGAUUGUUAAGUCAGUUGUGAAAGUUUGCGGCUCAACCGUAAAAUUGCAGUUGAAACUGGCAGUCGUGAGUACAGUAGAGGUGGGCGGAAUUCGUGGUGUAGCGGUGAAAUGCUUAGAUAUCACGAAGAACUCCGAUUGCGAAGGCAGCUCACUGGACUGCAACUGACACUGAGGCUCGAAAGUGUGGGUAUCAAACAGGAUUAGAUACCCCAGUAGUC
rnacentral:rRNA from 1 species